CCCAACUCUUCAGUCUUCACUGAAUCACUCUCAUUGUUUCGGCUCCAACUCCAGCCAAAAUGACUUCCAUUGCUCUGAAAUCCUUCGUUGGCCUCCGUCAAGCCUCUUUGGAGAAGCCCCAUUUGACUUCCCAAGCGAAACCCAGCUCGAUAAUUAAUCCCAGAAAACUACCUGUCGUUGCCUCCAAGUCUGCUCCGAAACUCACCAAUCGAGACCUCCGGGUGGCGGUUAUCGGUGGCGGACCAGCCGGAGGGGCUGCUGCCGAUACCCUCGCCAAAGGCGGGGUGGAGACGUACCUAAUCGAGCGUAAGAUGGACAACUGCAAGCCCUGUGGCGGAGCCAUACCGCUUUGCAUGGUAGGGGAAUUCGACCUCCCAUUGGACAUCAUUGACCGCCGGGUCACCCGGAUGAAGAUGAUAUCUCCCUCGAAUGUUGCCGUCGACAUCGGGCAGACCCUGAAGCCCCACGAGUACAUAGGGAUGGUACGGCGCGAGGUCCUGGACUCGUACCUUCGGGGACCGGGCCAAGGUGAGUGGCGCCGAGGUCAUCAAUGGGUUGUUUCUAAAGAUGGACAUACCGAGAGAUGGAGUUUCUCCGUACGUGCUGCAUUACACAGGGUACGACGGGAAAGCCGGUGGGGUUGGGGAGAAGCGGACGUUGGAGGUGGAUGCGGUGAUCGGCGCCGAUGGGGCUAAUUCUCGUGUCGCCAAGGGCAUUGGUGCUGGUGAUUACGACUACGCCAUCGCAUUUCAGGAGAGGAUCAAAAUCCCCGAUGAUAAAAUGGUAUACUAUGAGAACCUUGCCGAGGUGUAUGUGGGAGAUGAUGUUUCACCCGACUUCUAUGGUUGGGUCUUCCCCAAGUGCGAUCAUGUGGCUGUUGGCACCGGCACUGUAACCCACAAAGGAGACAUCAAGAAGUUCCAACUUGCAACAAGGAACAGAGCCAAGGACAAGAUUUGGGGUGGUAAGCUAAUACGAGUUGAGGCACACCCAAUUCCCGAACACCCCCGCCCGCGCAGGUUAUUAGGAAGAGUGGCUUUGGUAGGAGAUGCAGCCGGCUACGUGACGAAAUGCUCUGGUGAAGGUAUCUAUUUUGCUGCAAAGAGUGGGAGGAUGUGUGCUGAGGCUAUUGUUGAAGGGUCGGAGAAUGGGAAGAGGAUGGUGGAUGAGGGGGACUUGAGGAAGUAUUUGAAGAAGUGGGACAAGACUUACUGGCCAACAUACAAGGUGCUGGAUGUGUUGCAGAAGGUGUUCUACAGGUCGAACCCGGCAAGGGAAGCCUUUGUGGAGAUGUGUGCAGAUGAAUAUGUGCAGAAGAUGACUUUUGAUAGCUACUUGUACAAGACAGUGGCGCCUGGGAAUCCUCUGCAGGACUUGAAGUUGGCUGUGAACAUCAUUGGGAGCUUGCUGAGGGCUAAUGCACUUAGGAGGGAGAUGGACAAGCUUAGCCUAUGAAAGAAAUCCAUUUUA